rnacentral:rRNA from 2 species
GUCGAGCGGUACAGGGGUAGCUUGCUUCCCGCUGACGAGCGGCGGACGGGUGAGUAAUGCUUAGGAAUCUGCCCAGUAGUGGGGGAUAGCCCGGGGAAACCCGGAUUAAUACCGCAUACGUCCUACGGGAGAAAGCAGGGGAUCUUCGGACCUUGCGCUAUUGGAUGAGCCUAAGUCGGAUUAGCUAGUUGGUGGGGUAAAGGCCUACCAAGGCGACGAUCCGUAGCUGGUCUGAGAGGAUGAUCAGCCACAUCGGGACUGAGACACGGCCCGAACUCCUACGGGAGGCAGCAGUGGGGAAUAUUGGACAAUGGGGGCAACCCUGAUCCAGCCAUGCCGCGUGUGUGAAGAAGGCUUUCGGGUUGUAAAGCACUUUCAGUAGGGAGGAAAACCUUAUGGCUAAUACCCAUGAGGCUUGACGUUACCUACAGAAGAAGCACCGGCUAACUCCGUGCCAGCAGCCGCGGUAAUACGGAGGGUGCAAGCGUUAAUCGGAAUUACUGGGCGUAAAGCGCGCGUAGGUGGUUUGGUAAGCGAGAUGUGAAAGCCCCGGGCUUAACCUGGGAACGGCAUUUCGAACUGUCAGACUA